rnacentral:rRNA from 1 species
UGCCAGCCGCCGCGGUAAUACGGAGGGUGCAAACGUUAUUCGGUAUCACUGGGCUUAAAGCGUGCGUAGGCGGCCUGGAAGGUGAGGGGUGAAAUCCCACGGCUCAACCGUGGAACUGCCUUUCAAACCACCAGGCUUGAGGAAGACAGGGGUGAUCGGAACUUAUGGUGGAGCGGUGAAAUGCGUUGAUAUCAUAGGGAACACCGGUGGCGAAAGCGGAUCACUGGGUCUUUUCUGACGCUGAGACUCGAAGGCGUGGGUAGCGAACGGGAUUAGAUA